GACGAACGCUGGCGGCGUGCCUAAUACAUGCAAGUUGAGCGAUGAAGAUUGGUGCUUGCACCAAUUUGAAGAGCAGCGAACGGGUGAGUAACGCGUGGGGAAUCUGCCUUUGAGCGGGGGACAACAUUUGGAAACGAAUGCUAAUACCGCAUAACAACUUUAAACAUAAGUUUUAAGUUUGAAAGAUGCAAUUGCAUCACUCAAAGAUGAUCCCGCGUUGUAUUAGCUAGUUGGUGAGGUAAAGGCUCACCAAGGCGAUGAUACAUAGCCGACCUGAGAGGGUGGUCGGCCACAUUGGGACUGAGACACGGCACAAACGCCUACGGGAGGCAGCAGUAGGGAAUCUUCGGCGAUGGACGAAAGUCAGUGCAAGCAACGCCGAGUGAGUGAAGAAGGUUUUCGGAUCGUAAAACUCUGUUGGUAGGGAAGAACGUUGGUGGGAGUGAAAAGCUCAUCAAGUGACGGUAACUACCCAGAAAGGGACAGCUAACUACGUG
rnacentral:rRNA from 1 species